rnacentral:rRNA from 1 species
CAGUAGCCACGGGAAUACGAAGGGGGCUAGCGUUGUUCGGAAUUACUGGGCGUAAAGCGCACGUAGGCGGAUUUUUAAGUCAGGGGUGAAAUCCCGAGGCUCAACCUCGGAACUGCCUUUGAUACUGGAGAUCUUGAGUUCGGAAAAGAUUGGUGGAACAGCUAGUGUAGAGGUGAAAUUCGUAGAUAUUAGCUAGAACACCAGUGGCGAAGGCGGCCAACUGGUCCGAUACUGACGCUGAGGUGCGAAAGCGUGGGGAGCAAACAGGAUUAGAUACCCGAGUAGUCCCUGUCUCUUAUAC